UACGUAGGGUCCGAGCGUUGUCCGGAAUUAUUGGGCGUAAAGGGCUCGUAGGCGGUUUGUCACGUCGGGAGUGAAAUCUUACAGCUUAACUGUGAACUUGCUUUCGAUACGGGCAGACUAGAGUGCGGUAGGGGAGACUGGAAUUCCUGGUGUAGCGGUGGAAUGCGCAGAUAUCAGGAGGAACACCGGUGGCGAAGGCGGGUCUCUGGGCCGUAACUGACGCUGAGGAGCGAAAGCAUGGGGAGCGAACAGG
rnacentral:rRNA from 1 species